rnacentral:lncRNA from 1 species
AUCGAAAGUUGUGAAGUAAUCUGUACUGAUAAAAAAAUUCACAUAACAACUCUCUUCCAAAUUCUUUAAAUUUGGCUCUGGCUCUACCCAUGAAUAGGGUUUAAGAAACAUACUAUGAACAUUCUUUUUCAUUUUCGAAAAGGUUUAGCAGAAAUUCUCCUCAAACCGUCAUAACUUACGGGCACGGAGGGUGAUCAGCCCCGUUGUACCCUGUAUUGAUCAAUACUACAUAACUUGAACGAAAUUCAUCGUUCACUCUGUCCGCCUCGGGCGCAAAAACUUUCCCAUAUAGGGAUGUUCAUACAUGCCUGGUUCCAAACCCGAAGGUUUUUAAUCUUACUCAACAAUAAUAUGUAAUUCAACAUAUAUGUAUACGGGUAAUUGACAAAGGUGUAUCAACAUGUGAAUAAAUGCCAUGAUUAUCCAAGUGGGGACACUUGUAUAACCAUUUAGAAAUCAACGACAGAAUAUAUAUCUGAGCUAACAUGUUGAAAAUCAAAGCGUACAUAAUCUGUACAGGAAUAGAAUAAUUCUGAAACUCUCUUACUCAUGUCCAUUGCAUAAAGAAAAUGCAAAGGUAGGAUACUUGCCUGAUUUGAUGAUUACAAAUCUCAACUUAGGUUUUAUCUCUUUAUCACAACCUAUCAAUAAUCAGAUCAUUCGUUCGAUUA